AUAUUUAUCAGGGCAUAAACCUUCUUAAUAUAAAUGUUUUCAACUCUGCUUUCUAUCUUUCAACCAUUUCCAGCAGCAAAAAUUACUACACUUCAUGUCAAAUUCAGUACGCUGGCUCCCUGGCUGCAGCAAACUGCGACCCUCUGAUGAAACCAAAAGCCGGAAAAGCUUAAACUGUCUGAAAUGAGUAACAAAACAAAGAACAGUUGCUAGUUCUCUGGUUUCAGGUGAUGAUAUCAUUACGGGGGUUCAUUAAAGAACUCAUCUUCAGCUUUCUCCAAUCCAAAUGCUUCUUAAAGAUUAGUUCUCAAAAUGGAUCUGAAAGCUUCUGUCUCUUGAGGAUGUCUCAGCAGCCCAGUGUUUAACUAAACAAACAGCCCAACAGUCAUCCCAAUGAUCAUGUCAACAUAAUGUAUUCAUUAACUAUUUUAGCAGCUCCUAAUCCAUCACUCUGGAUAUUAGAGCCUGACCUGGACACAGAAGGCAUUGUCUUUAAGGACAAGUGUUCUGUUUGGCUUAAACUUCAUUCAACUGAGUUAGUUCAAAGUGAUGAUAAGCACAGCUGGGCUUUUUUAAAUGAGGAAGAAUAUAAUCUAAACCACACUUCAAAUACAUAGAUUCAGGUCUUCAUUUUUAACCAGGAGUGCAAUUAACUACUGAAACAGGCUAACAAAGGAAGUAUGGGACUGUCUGUUUCCUGGAAACUUAAUGCCAAGAUAAAUGGGUAUGGUUUAGUUAUUCAAUAAGAUCCAAGUGGUGACUAGGAGGAAAGGGAUGAGGGAAGUACGAAAACUGAAGCUUUAUGUUAUACUGCAGGUGACAUUAAAAUUAUCCAUUCUGGCCUAUAAAAGACGCUCUG